rnacentral:rRNA from 1 species
AGCGUUGUCCGGAAUUAUUGGGCGUAAAGAGCUUGUAGGUGGCUUGUCGCGUCUGCCGUGAAAACCCGAGGCUCAACCUCGGGCGUGCGGUGGGUACGGGCAGGCUAGAGUGUGGUAGGGGAGACUGGAACUCCUGGUGUAGCGGUGAAAUGCGCAGAUAUCAGGAAGAACACCGAUGGCGAAGGCAGGUCUCUGGGCCAUUACUGAC